rnacentral:rRNA from 1 species
CACCGCAUCCCGUCCGAUCUGCGAAGUUAAGCAAGGUAUCGCCUAGUCAGUACUGCGGUGGGGGACCACGCGGGAAUCCUAGGUGCUGCAGUUU